rnacentral:rRNA from 1 species
AUUGAACUCUGGCGGCAGGCCUAACACAUGCAAGUCGAACGAGUGGCGGACGGGUGAGUAAUGUCUGGGAAACUGCCUGAUGGAGGGGGAUAACUACUGGAAACGGUAGCUAAUACCGCCUACCAUCGGAUGUGCCCAGAUGGGAUUAGCUAGUAGGUGGGGUAACGGCUCACCUAGGCGCAGAUCCCUAGCGGGUCUGAGAGGAUGACCAGCCACAUUGGAACGGAGAAACGGUCCAAACUCCAACGGGAGGAAGCAGUGGGGAAUAUUGCACAAGGGGCGCAAGCCUGAUGCAGACAGUCCGCGUGUAUGAAGAAGGCCUUCGGGUUGUAAAGUACUUUCAGCGGGGAGGCGUUACCCGAAGAAGAAGCACCGGCUAACUCCGUGCCAGCAGCCGCGGUAAUUC